UAGUUUCGGAAAGGUUUCUUUUUUCCGGAAGGUGUCUCGAGCUGCUUUUUGAUGAAUUUCCCGUGGUGACAGAGGACGAUUUCCUAUCCCCAUGUUCUAUCGGCGGGACUGUAAAAUUAUCCGUCGUGAUCCCUGAUGACGAUGAUACUUCGAAUGACAAUCCGAACAACAAACAAAAUGACGAAGCAAUCAUAGAUAAUGUCACCGACGAUUUAGAUCCUGAUGCUGAUAAUACUGCUUUUCAAGAGAAUGUCCGCGAUGCCGAGACGUCCUUAAAGGAAUGGUACCCGAUUCGUGAUAUAAUACGUGAGAAUGGCUGGGACAAAACUCGCGUUGACUCCUUAUUUGCGCGGCUAGAUGAUGAAAACGCGGAACAGUAAAAAGGACCGUUCAAGUAUCAAUAUCGCUGUCGGAAAAUGGCUUUAUAAGCACAAGGGAAUGUAUGUAUAUACAGUAGCUACACAAAGUUUCCGCACAGCUGAGAGAAGCUUAUGGGAAAACGGGUAUUUUGAAAAUUCGCCAAAAAUCGAGUUUUCGUCGGACGAAAACGAUUUUUGGACAGGGGGUUCUUAGACUUAAGGUUUAUAGCAUAUAUUUUUUGGGUAUUUUUUCGUUCACGCGAACGUCCCUUUUAAAUUGGAAGUAAAAGUUUCCGCACAGUCGAGAGGGCCAUUAGUAAAUCGUACUACUUUGGCUCUCUUGUACUGGACGGAGAAUAGGGCUAGGAGAGUUCUUUAGGGCUUAAAAAAAAGAGCAUCGUUAUCUCUAUAACCUCAUCUGCAAUGCUGACCCCCAUGCCAUUUGAGAAAUCACUUUAAUUUCGAUGUGAAAAUGAAAAGUUUUCAUUUCUCAGUUAUUUUCCCUUUGUUCCCCCCUCCCGUAGUUGCCGGUUUUCCAAAUACCAAGUCUAAAAAAAAGGUCCUAGAGAUGGCCUGUCUUUUUUCUCCCCCUGCCCCUAAUAUUUAAAAUCUCGGUAUUUGGAAAAUUAUAUUAUCUCGGUAUUUGGUGGUCAGGGCGGAAACAUGGGCCGGUAUAGUAUGGCCCAGGUAAACCCCCCUUUCACUCACCCCUGGUGCGCGCAGUCCCCUCUCGCUCGACCCUCCUUUUUAGGGGGGUCGAGCGGAGAGUGGAGCGUCGAGCGUUUUACGGGCACUUUCGCUUAUUUGCACACCCUAAACCCUAUUCAUGCAAGACUGAAUACUAUUCGCGAAAGACCCAUUCAUGCAAAGACCCUAUUGUUUUAUUUCAUAAUAGUUAAAUUUUUAGGCCGAGUCGUGAUCGUUAGGUAGCUUUGAUUUAGAUCAAGUUCGAGAUCCAAAACUCCAGCAGGUUUUGUAAGGGCAGUUACCGAGUGCAUGAUCUGUGGUUGUUACUCAUGUCACAAUCUUGGCCAUUUGGAUGGUGCAUUAUAUUUGGAUUAAAUCUAUGUGUCUGCAGUUUUC